CAGUCGCCACGGGAAUACGAAGGGUGCAAGCGUUACUCGGAAUUACUGGGCGUAAAGCGUGCGUAGGUGGUGGUUUAAGUCCGUUGUGAAAGCCCUGGGCUCAACCUGGGAAUUGCAGUGGAUACUGGGUCACUAGAGUGUGGUAGAGGAUAGUGGAAUUUCCGGUGUAGCAGUGAAAUGCGUAGAGAUCGGAAGGAACAUCUGUGGCGAAGGCGACUAACUGGGCCAACACUGACACUGAGGCACGAAAGCGUGGGGAGCAAACAGGAUUAGAUACCCGGGUAGUCCCUGUCUCUUAUAC
rnacentral:rRNA from 1 species